rnacentral:tRNA from 1 species
GGAGUUGUGGCUUAGUGUUAGAGUGCUUGCCUCACAUGCAUGAGGGAGGCCCUGGGUUCAAUCCUCAGCACCA